GACGAACGCUGGCGGCGUGCCUAAUACAUGCAAGUUGAGCGAUGAAGAUUGGUGCUUGCACCAAUUUGAAGAGCAGCGAACGGGUGAGUAACGCGUGGGGAAUCUGCCUUUGAGCGGGGGACAACAUUUGGAAACGAAUGCUAAUACCGCAUAACAACUUUAAACAUAAGUUUUAAGUUUGAAAGAUGCAAUUGCAUCACUCAAAGAUGAUCCCGCGUUGUAUUAGCUAGUUGGUGAGGUAAAGGCUCACCAAGGCGAUGAUACAUAGCCGACCUGAGAGGGUGAACCGCCACAUUGGGACUGAGACACGGCCCAAACUUCUACGGGAGGCAGCAGUAGGGAAUCUUCGGAAAUGGAAGAAAGUCUGACCGAGCAACGCCGCGGGAGUGAAGAAGGGUUUCGGAUAGUAAAACUCUGUUUGUAGAGAAGAACGGUGGUGAGAGUGGAAAGCUCAUCAAGUGACGGUAACUACCCAGAAAGGGACGGCUAACUACGUG
rnacentral:rRNA from 1 species